GGUUCGAGCAGAAAUAAAAGUAUUUGUCGCUUCAGUUGACUUCAAGACUUGCAAUAAGGCUUGAAUUUCAUCGUUGGACUGGGCUUUCUUUCAUUGGUUUUUGUGAACAAGCUUUAAUCAAAAUAUGGAUAUAUUGCGAGUAAAGCUUGUUCACAAAACCGAACAACGAAAGGCCAGUCCAACGAUGAAAUUCAAGCCUAAUUGCCUGAAUAUCGAUGAAAUUCAAGUCAUGCAAAGACUUUUAUUUCUGCUAGAACC